rnacentral:miRNA from 1 species
AGUGUGUGUGUGUGUGUGUAUAUAUAUACAUAUAUAUAUAUAUAUGUAUAUAUAUAUAUACACACACACACACACAUA